rnacentral:rRNA from 1 species
UGGCGAACGGGUGAGUAACGCGUGAGUAACCUGCCCUGGAGUGGGGGACAACAGUUGGAAACGACUGCUAAUACCGCAUAAGCCCACGGCCCGGCAUCGGGCUGCGGGAAAAGGAUUUAUUCGCUUCAGGAUGGACUCGCGUCCAAUUAGCUAGUUGGUGAGGUAACGGCCCACCAAGGCGACGAUUGGUAGCCGGACUGAGAGGUUGAACGGCCACAUUGGGACUGAGACACGGCCCAGACUCCUACGGGAGGCAGCAGUGGGGGAUAUUGCACAAUGGGGGAAACCCUGAUGCAGCGACGCCGCGUGGAGGAAGAAGGUUUUCGGAUUGUAAACUCCUGUCGUUAGGGACGAUAAUGACGGUACCUAACAAGAAAGCACCGGCUAACUACGUGCCAGCAGCCGCGGUAAAACGUAGGGUGCAAGCGUUGUCCGGAAUUACUGGGUGUAAAGGGAGCGCAGGCGGACCGGCAAGUUGGAAGUGAAAACCAUGGGCUCAACCCAUGAAUUGCUUUCAAAACUGCUGGCCUUGAGUAGUGCAGAGGUAGGUGGAAUUCCCGGUGUAGCGGUGGAAUGCGUAGAUAUCGGGAGGAACACCAGUGGCGAAGGCGACCUACUGGGCACCAACUGACGCUGAGGCUCGAAAGCAUGGGUAGCAAACAGGAUUAGAUACCCUGGUAGUCCAUGCCGUAAACGAUGAUUACUAGGUGUUGGAGGAUUGACCCCUUCAGUGCCGCAGUUAACACAAUAAGUAAUCCACCUGGGGGAGUACGACCGCAAGGUUGAAACUCAAAGGAAUUGACGGGGGGCCCGCACAAGCAGUGGAAGUAUGUGGGUUUAAUUCGAA